rnacentral:lncRNA from 1 species
AGAGAUGUUGGAGAAAUCAGAUAAUCCUCAUACAGUGUAUAUUACUGCAGGAGAUCCAGGACAAACUAAUGUUACCAUCCACACCACACACAACGACGCCCCUAUUAAUCAGAGUUCAUCACUCACAGAGAAGAGCAAGCCAGAUGCACCAGUCACUAUCUACUGUGCCAUUCAGCAGCAACCAAAACCCCCCAAAACUGAAGCUGAAAACACUAUUUAUGCUGUGGUCAGUAAACAGCCAGCCGGGUAUGAAUCUGCACAUCCACAAUCAGAAUAAAAGUGAGCUUCUUAUAAAGCUGAACCCUUACAGUGAUUCAAAGUAAUAAAGGACUUCAUAUGUUCAGGAAGGCAGUGUUAUUCUCAGUGUAAAUAAGCAGAAUAUUUACCAUGUGCAAUGUGCUCCCAUUGUAGCUGAUUUAGGGUGUUAAAGAUAUUUGUAUAUGUAAAUUCUGUCUUUUUAAAAGCAACAGUAAAUUUUUUAUUUAUUUUUUUAUUGUAAAAUUGUUGUACAUGUGGCUCAGACAGGAAUGCAAAAUCACAUGCAUGUGGUUUCUAUAGAUUUCUGUUAGAGAUUCCUCACCGCCUUUGCAGGCAACACCUGUAAACCACUUCCUGGAAAGUAUUUGUCAAACUAUAGGAGUUAUUUUGAAAGGUCACAGGGGGCGUACAUUUACCCAUUCACCCCCAUCCCUCUGGAAACACACAGUUCCGUAUACAAAAAGUAAUGAAUAUGUAAUCAGAAAUGUACUGUACAAAGCCACUUUGCACUAAAGGAAGUAAAAACUUACUGGGCUCAAGUUCAUGUAGUAUGUCAGUAACUGAUCAGGCAUCUGUGUUGACAGCAUCAGUGAUUAUAAUAGUAUAAUUUGCUUUUGAUGUGCCACUCAUGUCUGGUGUAACCAGGUAAAGCAACAGUAAAUGUAUUUUUUUUAUUGUAAAAUUGUUGUACAUGUGGCUCAGACAGGAAUGCAAAAUCACAUGCAUGUGGUUUCUAUAGAUUUCUGUUAGAGAUUCCUCACCG